rnacentral:rRNA from 1 species
CACUAGUAACGGCCGCCAGUGUGCUGGAAUUCGGCUUUAAUCCGACCUAGGCUCAUCUCAGAGUGUGAGGCCUUACGGUCCCCCACUUUGGUCUCUCGACAUCAUGCGGUAUUAAUCCGGGUUUCCCCGGGCCAUCCCCCGCUCUAAGGUAGAUUCCUAUGUAUUGCUCACCCGUCCGCCGCUCGCCGGCACCCUUGCGGGCCCGCUGCCGCUCGACUUGCAUGUGUUAAGCACGCCGCCAGCGUUCAAUCUGAGCCAGGAUCAAACUCUAAGCCGAAUUCUGCAGAUAUCCAUCACACUGGCGGCCGCUCGAGCAUG